CGCGAAGUUACUGGGCGAAGACGGGCUACAACCGGUUCCGCUCACAGUUCUUGUUCCCGAACGUUAGAUAGAGACAAACGACGAACGGUCAGUAGGUAAAAAACAAGGGGUAUCAAAAUUUAGAAGAAACCUAUAUUUAUAGAUUGAAAAUAUUAAAAAAAUGUCAAAAAGUAUUUGAUUUAUGAAACACUGUGAAAUUCAAACUCAGUCAAAAAAACAGAUUUUUCUGACGAAGUUGACCAAAAUGUCAACAUACUAUUUAAAUGACAACA